rnacentral:rRNA from 1 species
UACGUAGGGGGCUAGCGUUAUCCGGAAUUACUGGGCGUAAAGGGUGCGUAGGUGGUUUCUUAAGUCAGAGGUGAAAGGCUACGGCUCAACCGUAGUAAGCCUUUGAAACUGGGGAACUUGAGUGCAGGAGAGGAGAGUGGAAUUCCUAGUGUAACGGUGAAAUGCGUAGAUAUUAGGAGGAACACCAGUUGCGAAGGCGGCUCUCUGGACUGUAACUAACACUGAGGCACGAAAGCGUGGGGAGCAAACAGG